CGCCUGGGGAGUGCGGUCGCAAGACUGAAACUCAAAGGAAUUGACGGGGGCCCGCACAAGCGGUGGAGCAUGUGGUUUAAUUCGAUGAUACGCGAGGAACCUUACCAGGGCUUAAAUGUAGUUGCAUGAUUCAGAGAUGAAUCUUUCUUCGGACUACUUACAAGGUGCUGCAUGGUUGUCGUCAGCUCGUGCCGUGAGGUGUCAGGUUAAGUCCUAUAACGAGCGCAACCCCUAUCGUUAGUUACCAGUGGGUAAUCCGGGUACUCUAACGAGACUGCCAGUGCAAACUGGAGGAAGGUGGGGAUGACGUCAAAUCAUCAUGCCCCUUAUGUCCAGGGCUGCACGCAUGCUACAAUGGCAAGUACAACGAGUCGCAAUACCGCGAGGUGGAGCAAAUCUCUUAAAGCUUGUCUCAGUUCGGAUAGGAGUCUGCAACUCGACUCCUUGAAGUUGGAGUCGCUAGUAAUCGCAAAUCAGAAAGUUGCGGUGAAUACGUUCUCGGGGUUUGAACACACCGCCCGUC
rnacentral:rRNA from 1 species